rnacentral:rRNA from 1 species
AUUGAACGCUGGCGGAAUGCUUUACACAUGCAAGUCGAACGGCAGCACGGACUUCGGUCUGGUGGCGAGUGGCGAACGGGUGAGUAAUGUAUCGGAACGUGCCCAGUCGUGGGGGAUAACGUAGUGAAAAUUACGCUAAUACCGCAUACGAUCUAUGGAUGAAAGCGGGGGAUCGCAAGACCUCGCGCGAUUGGAGCGGCCGAUAUCAGAUUAGGUAGUUGGUGGGGUAAAGGCCCACCAAGCCAACGAUCUGUAGCUGGUCUGAGAGGACGAACAGCCACACUGGAACUGAGACACGGUCCAGACUCCUACGGGAGGCAGCAGUGGGGAAUUUUGGACAAUGGGCGAAAGCCUGAUCCAGCCACUCCGCGUGCAGGAUGAAGGCCCUCGGGUUGUAAACUGCUUUUGUACAGAACGAAAAGGUUUCUACUAAUACUGGGAGCUCAUGACGGUACUGUAAGAAUAAGCACCGGCUAACUACGUGCCAGCCGCCGCAGUAA